GAUGAACGCUGGCGGCGUGCCUAAUACAUGCAAGUCGAGCGAACGGACGAGAAGCUUGCUUCUCUGAUGUUAGCGGCGGACGGGUGAGUAACACGUGGAUAACCUACCUAUAAGACUGGGAUAACUUCGGGAAACCGGAGCUAAUACCGGAUGAUAUUUUGAACCGCAUGGUUCAAAAGUGAAAGACGGUCUUGCUGUCACUUAUAGAUGGAUCCGCGCUGCAUUAGCUAGUUGGUAAGGUAACGGCUUACCAAGGCAACGAUGCAUAGCCGACCUGAGAGGGUGAUCGGCCACACUGGAACUGAGACACGGUCCAGACUCCUACGGGAGGCAGCAGUAGGGAAUCUUCCGCAAUGGGCGAAAGCCUGACGGAGCAACGCCGCGUGAGUGAUGAAGGUCUUCGGAUCGUAAAACUCUGUUAUUAGGGAAGAACAUAUGUGUAAGUACUGUGCACAUCUUGACGGUACCUAAUCAGAAAGCCACGGCUAACUACGUG
rnacentral:rRNA from 1 species